rnacentral:lncRNA from 1 species
GGGGUGAGAGGCUGCAGAGGUUGCCUGGGGCCUGCUGGGACUUGACCUAGCUGACAGUGGGCACCAUUGAGAAAUGUGCAGUGGGAAGUGGCGGGGCCACGUUUGCAUUCUAGGAGGAUGUCCUGGCAGCCGGGGAGGGUGGUCUGCAGGGGCCAGAGUGGAGGCCGGAAGGCCAGCGAGGGGUUGUCAAAUGUGGCGUCCAAAGCAAUGCCUCCAACUGCCAGCGGAGAGAAGUCUCAUUAGCAAAAAGAAGGAGGAAUUGCUCCUGCCACUUAGACUGCAAAAAACCCAAGUUCAACAUAAAAUAAAAUAGACUUUUUAUUUUCUGAUUUUGCAUUUUCUAUUAUCUGUCCUUCUUUUGCUGUUCCGUGUCAUCUCCUUGUUUCCUCUCUGGUUUUCCAUGAGUUCUUUGCAUACUUUGUUUUCAAUUUUAAAAUGCAUAUCUUUCCGUAUAAAGUUAAUGGCCCUGCCUCCCUGCAGCUGGGGAGACCUGAGUUCAAAUCCCAGCUCUGCUGUUUGCCGCCUGCUGUUCCUUCUUUGUGAAAGGGGAGGUUUCAGUCCCUCUCCGAAAGGGGCAUGUGAAGAGGAGGUCAUGCCCAGCAGAUAUUUACGAGGAUGUCUAAGACAUGGGAACUAGGACGAUUGUUUUCAAUAUUAUGCUUCUUUAAAAGGCUGUUUUAGCUGUUUAAGCAAUCCAGGCAAAGAUAAGGUGCUGAGUUCUAUGAAGAGAACACAGAGAGAUUAAUUCCAGAGAUACGUCAGGGGUGAGGACGACCUCACCUAACAGGUGACUGUCAUGCCUGUGAGAAAAUACCUUUUCCAAAUGGUGCCGUCCACUUCUAUCUCUCCACGGAAGGAUGGUGAAGUCUUCCACCUGGAGCUCCUGAGAGAACAGUGGGCUUAGUGGAAACACCACACACCUGGCUGGGUGUUUUCAGGUGGAGACGCUGAGGGCUGUUUCUUUCCAGUCCUGGAAGACGCGGAAUUUCUUCUCGGCAGCUUUGCUCGGCCUGCGUCUGAGCGAUGAGGAAACUGAGACACAAAAAUGGGGGAUGACUUGCCCAGGAAGCUGGACCACAUCACACAACGUUACUAUUGUAAUACCUUUAUCAAGAGUACCUCACAUGGCAACAAUGGGAGAAAAAUCAUACAGCUGGCUGCGUCAGGGAGAAAAGGAAGGGUGCCCCGGAGGCCACGGGAGACCAAGACAAUCCCUCUGUGGCUCAGAGUCUGAUGAAGAAACUGAGGCACAGGGAUGUGAAGUAACUGGCCCAAGUG